AACGCACCUUGCGCCUCUUGGUAUUCCGAGAGGCAUGCCUGUUUGAGUGUCUUAUAAAAUCAAUCCCCACGGGUUUCUUACCUGGCGGUGGACUUGGAGUUGGGCGUCUGCCGGUCACACGGCUCGCCUCAAAGACCUUAGUGAGACUAGUGGCCUAUGGCUCGACGUAAUAAGUUUCGUCAGGCUUGGACAUUAACGCUUGCUCAUAACCAGCCCUCGGGCAAUCACUUUAUGCUAGACCUCAAAUCAGGUAGGACUACCCGCUGAACUUAA
rnacentral:misc_RNA from 1 species